UGACUAACAGGUGAAUAACAGGUUACUAACAGGUGACAAACAGGUGGAUAACAGGUGACAAACAGGUGAAUAACAGGUGAAUAACAGGUGAAUAACAGGUGAAUAACAGGUGAAUAACAGGUGACCAACAGGUGGAUAACAGGUUACUAACAGGUGAAUAAGAGGUUACUAACAGGUGAAUAAGAGUUGACUAACAGGUGAAUAACAGGUGAAUAACAGGUGAAUAACAGGUGACAAACAGGUGAAUAACAGGUGACCAACAGGUGAAUAACAGGUGAAUAACAGGUGACCAACAGGUGAAUAAC